CCGCCAUCCUGGAUAAACUAUUUUUCUAAGAAUAUGGCAUUUCGAUUUACAAUCACAUUGUGAUCUUGUGGAAAGUAGUAGUAUCCCAUAGAUUCUUUUGGAUAUCCUAUAAAAUAAGCUAUAAUAGAUCUAUCCUCUAACUUUUUUGCCAUCUGUCUCUUGACAUAGGUUGGACAUCCUUAAGUCUUAAGAUAAUCCAGACUCA
rnacentral:lncRNA from 1 species